rnacentral:rRNA from 1 species
UCGCUAGUAAUCGCGGAUCAGAAUGCCGCGGUGAAUACGUUCCCGGGUCUCGUACACACCGCCCGUCACACCAUGGGAGUCGGAAAUGCCCGAAGUCUGUGACCUAACCGUAAGGAAGGAGCAGCCGAAGGCAGGUCGGAUGACUGGGGUGAAGUCGUAACAAGGUAAC